UACGUAGGGUGCAAGCGUUGUCCGGAAUUAUUGGGCGUAAAGGGCUCGUAGGCGGUCCAUCGCGUCGGGAGUGAAAAGCUGGGGCUUAACCCCAGUCCUGCUUCCGAUACGGGUGGACUAGAGGUAGGUAGGGGAGAACGGAAUUCCUGGUGUAGCGGUGAAAUGCGCAGAUAUCAGGAGGAACACCGGCGGCGAAGGCGGGUCUCUGGGCCGAUACUGACGCUGAGGAGCGAAAGCGUGGGGAGCGAACAGG
rnacentral:rRNA from 1 species